GACGAACGCUGGCGGCGUGCUUAACACAUGCAAGUCGAACGGUAAGGCCCUUCGGGGUACACGAGUGGCGAACGGGUGAGUAACACGUGGGUGAUCUGCCCUGCACUUCGGGAUAAGCCUGGGAAACUGGGUCUAAUACCGGAUAGGACUCCGGACUGCAUGGUCUGGGGUGGAAAGCUUUUGCGGUGUGGGAUGGGCCCGCGGCCUAUCAGCGUGUUGGGGGGGUGAUGGCCUACCAAGGCGACGACGGGUAGCCGGCCUGAGAGGGUGACCGGCCACACUGGGACUGAGAUACGGCCCAGACUCCGACGGGAGGCAGCAGUGGGGAAUAUUGCACAAUGGGCGCAAGCCUGAUGCAGCGACGCCGCGUGAGGGAUGACGGCCCUCGGGUUGUAAACCUCUUUCAGCAUCGACGAAGCGAAAGUGACGGUAGGUGCAGAAGAAGGACCGGCCAACUACGUGCCAGCCGCCGCGGUAA
rnacentral:rRNA from 1 species